CCCAGUAUGGCGCAGUGGAUAGCGUAUGGAACUACCAAUUCCGCGGUCGGGGGUUCGAUUCCCUCUGCUGGGA
rnacentral:tRNA from 1 species